GGGGGUGGGGGGGAGCAUGUGAGACAGAAUUUAAUGUAUUAAGUCUUUUCUGAAGCAGAGAAUUGAGAGGUACUACUGGGUGUUCUUACCAUGUCUGCUGCAACCUCCUAGCCAGAGGAGGCUGUUUAAGCAUUUUCAUAUUGUUACACUUUGGAUCUUUUUAUCUAUGACUUACUACAGCCUAAACACUUCUCCUAAUAGAAGCUGCUCCAGAAAUUUGUUUUCUCCCUUUUUAACAGCCAUCUUCCAGUGUCUAGCCUGAAGUUAUUUGCAAGCUAUUUACACGCAUUUGUACCAGCAUCAGUCAUCCUUUAGCUUAUCCAGCUCUCUACCAUUGUGUUCAGCCUCUAGAUUUGUCUAUGAAUAACAACCCCUUUGCCUUUAUUUUGCUAGGCUGAUCAGCCUCUUAGCUUCUUUUUGCACCAGAGGAUUUCCGUCCCCAUAAUGACAAGUGUCUGCACUGGUUCACAUCAGCAUUUAUUCUUCCUGACCCUUCUUCUAGAUUCGUGUUUCAAUAGUGCCUUACCACUAGUAUUUCCUUUCUUCAUGGGAAAUAUCUCUCCUGAUGAUCUGCCAAUUAUAUCUGCUCUUUUUUUUUUUUUUUCCUCUGCUAAUAGAACAAGUCAUACAAGGUCCCAGUCAAGAAAUCAAAACCAAACAAUCCAUCUACACUUUACACAUCUGUACCAGUGAAAGAAACGUGGGAAACUGAAUACAAGAACUAUCUAUGCCAACUAGCGCAGCUAAGAAUGGAUGGAGUAAUAGAUUGGCUGGGCUGGGAGAACAGAUAUGCUACUGCUCUGUGCCACCCCAGCUACACACGGAUAAUGGAAGAUACUCAGCUGGAAGUGUCCAGGUAAAGGUGAAGAUAAACAGCUCACCGUUUAUCAGAGAAGUUACCCAUAAAGUUGUCUGGAAGUCUUUCUCCUAGAGCUGGGCAGGCAAGCAAAUCCUACUAUUCAUUUGGGAAGCCGAGAUUAGGGAAGGUGAUGAAACCAGCUAGAGAAGGAGACCUACAGCAACACUUCCAGGAGAACCAGUUGUGUAAAGUUCCACAGCAUCUGAGAACUCCAUAGCACACUAUCACUUAACCGACUGAAGAAAAUACAGUGACGAGUUCAGAAUUGAAGAGCUGACCUACAGAAACUCUGGCCUUAUGUUAUGCCUCCAGUUUCAAGUUGAAGCACUGAAAAAUACUACACCAUGCAGAUGUGACUACACAGGCAGGAACUCAGCAUCUUGGAAUUUUAUUUGCACAAAACAAACUGCACAAAUUAUGUUGAUGAAAAUCUAUUCAAAAUGAUUUCAUUUAUUAGACCACAAUGAUAUCAUGCCACACCUCUGAAGAAAAUGAAGUAUGUCUAUUGAAUAAUAAUAACAAAACACAAACAGUCCUGAGAGUAGACAUGAAAAAGUGCAAGUAAAAAUCACACAAAAUUAAUGGCUUAUUUAGGUUUGAUCUGUUGCUUUUUUAUUAAGGAAAAACCCUUGGAAGGCUGUACUUUCACUGAGGCUAGGGGAUUGUCCUUAUUUAAUAUUAGGAUGGAGGUACUCAAAUGUUUUUAUCACAGGGACUGUACCCCAACAGAGCUCACCACCUUCAUCUGCAGAUCACAUAAGAUCCACAUCUAGCCUGCAGAACCACUUGAGAUACUAUUCUGUAAACUCAGUGUCUGAAGCUGUGCCUGCACAACACCAUCAGCCAGCUGUCCUAAGGACAUGAACAAGUGCUCUGCAGACCAGCCAUUUCAAAAGCCUUCAGUGAGCAAAUCUUUAAAGCAUUUAUGUCUACAAAGAUGCUUUUUUAGUACAUUUUUCAAACCCACAUAUUAACUGUUUGGUGAGACCUGAAGGCUUAAAAGGUGCUCAAGAAAAGACUAUUUCAACAGCAACUCCUUUUAAACUCUGCUAAAUUCAUACAUGCAUUAUCCACACAUGCACAUAGAUACAGAUACACGCUCAUAAAUGUUAUCUAUAAUAAUUCCUCAGGGCAAUACAGACCUGGACACGAAAUCAUGAGAGCACUAUAAUGUCAUUCACUUUUGACCUUUCCUGUUUAGAAAAGGGCAAAUGAUUUCUGGUUCUACUCUGUCAGGAGAAACCAUCAAGCAGAAUCGUAUGAUUCUUCUAGGACACUUCACAAAUACUGCCAAGAUUUGCUUCUGUAUAUAGCAGUUGUACAAUGCCACACGGAGAAAACAGAAGCAGGUGGACCAGGAUUGAACUAUAUGUGGUUUUCUUUGUGCAUUGGGUUGGCUGCAAACUGCCAGGUUUCAUAAUUCUCCCUUUCAUGUUGAUUUUCUGGUGCACAACAAAGCAUCAUUUCAUAUUAAAGUCUCUUCUUCAGUCAUGGAAUCGUAUCUCUUUCACCCAGCUUCUU
rnacentral:lncRNA from 1 species